rnacentral:tRNA from 1 species
GCGCUCGUAGUUUAAUGGAUAAAGCACUGGCCUCCGGAGCUUGUGAUUCCGGUUCAAGUCCGGACGAGCGCA